GAUGAACGCUGGCGGCGUGCCUAAUACAUGCAAGUCGAGCGAACGGACGAGAAGCUUGCUUCUCUGAUGUUAGCGGCGGACGGGUGAGUAACACGUGGAUAACCUACCUAUAAGACUGGGAUAACUUCGGGAAACCGGAGCUAAUACCGGAUAAUAUUUUGAACCGCAUGGUUCAAAAGUGAAAGACGGUCUUGCUGUCACUUAUAGAUGUAUCCUCGCUGCAUUAGCUAGUUGGUAAGGUAACGGCUUACCAAGGCAACGAUGCAUAGCCGACCUGAGAGGGUGAUCGGCCACACUGGAACUGAGACACGGUCCAGACUCCUACGGGAGGCAGCAGUAGGGAAUCUUCCGCAAUGGGCGAAAGCCUGACGGAGCAACGCCGCGUGAGUGAUGAAGGUCUUCGGAUCGUAAAACUCUGUUAUUAGGGAAGAACAUAUGUGUAAGUAACUGUGCACAUCUUGACGGUACCUAAUCAGAAAGCCACGGCUAACUACGUG
rnacentral:rRNA from 1 species